rnacentral:tRNA from 4 species
GGCGGAUGUAGCCAAGUGGUCAA